GACGAACGCUGGCGGCGUGCCUAAUACAUGCGAGUCGAACGCAUUUUCUUUCACCGUAGCUUGCUACACCGAAAGAAAAUGAGUGGCGAACGGGUGAGUAACACGUGGGUAACCUGCCCAUCAGCGGGGGAUAACACUUGGAAACAGGUGCUAAUACCGCAUAAUUCCAUUUACUGCAUGGUAGAUGGAUGAAAGGCGCUUUUGCGUCACUGAUGGAUGGACCCGCGGUGCAUUAGCUAGUUGGUGGGGUAACGGCCUACCAAGGCUGCGAUGCAUAGCCGACCUGAGAGGGUGAUCGGCCACACUGGGACUGAGACACGGCCCAGACUCCUACGGGAGGCAGCAGUAGGGAAUCUUCGGCAAUGGACGCAAGUCUGACCGAGCAACGCCGCGUGAGUGAAGAAGGUUUUCGGAUCGUAAAACUCUGUUGUUAGAAAAGAACAAGGAUGAGAGUGGAAAGUUCAUCCCUUGACGGUAUCUAACCAGAAAGCCACGGCUAACUACGUG
rnacentral:rRNA from 1 species